AACGCUAGCUACAGGCUUAACACAUGCAAGUCGAGGGGCAANCCAGNGUAACAAUACCAUGGGGCGGNNACCCGGCNCACGGGUGCGUAACCGCGUAUCCAACCUUUCCCCGUACUCCAGGGAAUAGCCUUCCGAAAGGGAGAUUAAUACCUGAUGGUGUUCAAAUUCCGCAUGUUAUUUGAACUAAAGAUUUAUCGGUAACGGAUGGGGAUGCGUGACAUUAGAUAGUAGNCGGGGUAACGGCCCACCUAGUCUACGAUGUCUAGGGGUUCUGAGAGGAAGGUCCCCCACACUGGAACUGAGACACGGUCCAGACUCCUACGGGAGGCAGCAGUGAGGAAUAUUGGUCAAUGGUCGGAAGACUGAACCAGCCAAGUAGCGUGAAGGAUGAAGGUUCUAUGGAUUGUAAACUUCUUUUAUACGGGAAUAAAACCUCCCACGUGUGGGAGCUUGUAUGUACCGUAUGAAUAAGCAUCGGCUAACUCCGUGCCAGCAGCCGCGGUAAUACGGAGGAUGCGAGCGUUAUCCGGAUUUAUUGGGUUUAAAGGGAGCGUAGACGGGAGAUUAAGUCAGUUGUGAAAGGCUGCGGCUCAACCGCAGCACUGCAGUUGAUACUGGUUUCCNNGANNCCNNNUGAGGCUUAUGGAAUUCGUGGUGUAGCGGUGAAAUGCUUAGAUAUCACGAAGAACUCCGAUUG
rnacentral:rRNA from 1 species